GUGGUCCUGGUGUCUACCACAGACAUAUUUCUCAGAUAACGGGGACGAAGAUGAAUUCUGUGAGACAGAAAUAACAAAGUUACUUCCUUGGUAGAUGUUCCCAUCUUCAGAUCAGGGAUUUCAAGAAGGGAAGGACCUAACUUCUGGAAGCUUGUGGUCUGUUUUCUAUGAUAACAUGUCCAAAGUGACAGAGUGCAAAAGUGUUGAAGAAAGUGUUUGAGUUGGAAUUUGAAUUCAGGUCUUCUGACCCUAGGCAUCACAUUUUAGAAAUGUGAAGAUUAAAUUUAAUUCUCUCCUUCUUAUAACAAUGAAAAUACUUAACUCUCCUCUGAUUGUUAAGAUUAAAUUGUAAUCUCUGACUAUUUUUAGUUUUAAUCCCCAUAAGUGUAAAUGCCCUACUUAAAGUUGAGUAUAUAGAUCUGCCUAUUUUAGAUCUAAUCACCAAAGAUGUAAACACCCCAUGUCACACAUUAAGUGGGAGGUCUGUGACCCAUGUGUGAAAUAGUGGGUGAUGAAUCAGAAUCAACUAACUACUCAGGGGGGCAGUUGUAAAACAAACCAUCAACUGUGAUUGUUAGAUGUAAAAUUAGGGGCAGACACAGGAAGUGAUGCAAAAGAAGCGUAUUUAAAAGGAGCUGUCACUUCCUGUGAGAAUUCAAUUCUUCAUUCUUUGAUCUGCUGACUGAACUCGAGACCCUGUUCCUGACUGGACUAACACGUGCAGCCUUGCAGUGACAACCUUGGGUUUCCCAGGAUAACCCUAUAUAUGAUCUUGCAUCCUAAAGUUUGAAGUCUUUCUCCAAGAGCUUUCCCCAACCCCAUCUCCUAUCCUCUAGCCAACCAAAUAUCAUAAAAUACAGGUCUCUCCACUCCUUAAAAUAAAGAAAAGAAGAAGAGAGAAAGGAAGGAAAGAUGGAAAGAUGAUGAAAGAAAGAUGUAAAAAAGAAAUACAGAAUGCUUUCUUGUAUUAUAUCGUCAUGAUAAAGCAAAAUAAAUUUCCAAGUUGACCUCUUCUAAAAAUGUGCUUCUCAUUUUUCAGUUUCAGAGAGAUCUAGGAAGACUUGUAUGACCUGAUGAAGAGUGAAAUGAGCAAAACCAGGAGAACAAUUUAUAAUAUAAUAUCAAUAUUGUGAAAGCAAAAUUCUGAAAGACAACUCAUCAAUAAAAUGAUCAACCAUGAUACCAGAAGAUUGUUUAAGAACUCUAUCUACCUCAUGACAAAGAGAUGGACUAACAAGCAGAAUGAGAAACACAUUCCAUGAUUUCAUUGGGGGUAUAUUACUAAGAUAUAGUAGAAAUGAUUCUGUGCCCUGCACUGGUGUCUAUGAACUUUGUACAAAUGUUUGGAAGAGCAUGAUCAGGGAGUUCCCUAGUCAUCUUUUUGGUCUUUAUGGCCAUCCUUUGAUUAGGACAGAUGUAAACCCAAGAACAGACCUUGGUUAAAUAACUCCCAUCAAGUCUUUCUCUGUUUCUGGGAAAAUAUUUUUAAUACUUCUAAUUUAAAAGGGAAAAAGACAUUUAAUUUAGUGAUUUUGUCUUGGUUUGCUAUUUUUACCCCAUGUUUUAAUAUAAUUUCUUUAAUUUAAAAA